rnacentral:rRNA from 1 species
UAGGGAAUCUUCCACAAUGGGCGAAAGCCUGAUGGAGCAACGCCGCGUGGGUGAAGAAGGUCUUCGGAUCGUAAAACCCUGUUGUUAGAGAAGAAAGUGCGUGAGGGUAACUGUUCACGUUUCGACGGUAUCUAACCAGAAAGCCACGGCUAACUACGUGCCAGCAGCCGCGGUAAUACGUAGGUGGCAAGCGUUAUCCGGAUUUAUUGGGCGUAAAGGGAACGCAGGCGGUCUUUUAAGUCUGAUGUGAAAGCCUUCGGCUUAACCGGAGUAGUGCAUUGGAAACUGGUUGACUUGAGUGCAGAAGAGGGAAGUGGAAUUCCAUGUGUAGCGGUGAAAUGCGUAGAGAUAUGGAGGAACACCAGUGGCGAAGGCGGCUUCCUGGUCUGCAAACUGACACUGAGGCGCGAAAAGCGUGGGGGAGCAAACAGGAUUAGAUACCC